rnacentral:rRNA from 1 species
AACGGAACUUCUUUAAAGGAUUUCUUCGGAAUGAAUUUGAUUAAGUUUAGUGGCGGACGGGUGAGUAACGCGUGAGUAACCUGCCUCUAAGAGGGGAAUAACAUUCUGAAAAGAAUGCUAAUACCGCAUAACAUAUAUUUAUCGCAUGGUAGAUAUAUCAAAGAUUUAUCGCUUAGAGAUGGACUCGCGUCCGAUUAGUUAGUUGGUGAGGUAACGGCUCACCAAGACCGCGAUCGGUAGCCGGACUGAGAGGUUGAACGGCCACAUUGGGACUGAGACACGGCCCAGACUCCUACGGGAGGCAGCAGUGGGGGAUAUUGCGCAAUGGGGGAAACCCUGACGCAGCAACGCCGCGUGAAGGAUGAAGGUCUUCGGAUUGUAAACUUCUUUUAUUAAGGACGAAGAAAGUGACGGUACUUAAUGAAUAAGCUCCGGCUAACUACGUGCCAGCAGCCGCGGUAAUACGUAGGGAGCAAGCGUUGUCCGGAUUUACUGGGUGUAAAGGGUGCGUAGGCGGCUUUGCAAGUCAGAUGUGAAAUCUAUGGGCUCAACCCAUAGCCUGCAUUCGAAACUGCAGAGCUUGAGUGAAGUAGAGGCAGGCGGAAUUCCCCGUGUAGCGGUGAAAUGCGUAGAGAUGGGGAGGAACACCAGUGGCGAAGG